rnacentral:rRNA from 1 species
AUGGAUUGCCAUCCUGUUACAAUCGGCCACGACAAAGGUGAUUGUCAAUGGAGUUCAAGGUCGCAGCUUUGCUCACGCACAAGGGCUUCGCCAAGGGGACACAAUUUCUCCCCUCCUGUUCGUUGUGGCAAUGGAGGCUUUGUCGGCAAUCUUCAACAAGCAGAGCACGAGGGUGCGAUUAGCUCCUUUACUGGUGUCUCGGCCUUGCAGCGGCUCUUGAUCUACGCGGACGAUGUUGCCCUCUUUGUCAAGCCAACCACCAGGGACCUGAACUUUGUGAGAGCCGCGCUUGACAUCUUUGGAGAAGCAUCGGGACUCAGGAUCAACUAUAGGAAAUCUGAUGCGAUCAUUAUUCGAGGUUCAGAAGUGGACAGCAACAGGGUAACCGGAAUACUCAAGUGCACCAUGGGAUCUUUCCCUUGCAAAUACAUUGGAAUCCAACUCGCCAUCUCGAAGCUCACCAAGCCGGAUUGGCAACCACUUCUCGAUCAGGUCGAUCCACCAACUGUUGAUUCUGGAUGCACCGCAGUGGGUGUUCGACGACAUUAA